rnacentral:rRNA from 1 species
GACGAACGCUGGCGGCGUGCUUAACACAUGCAAGUCGAACGGAAAGGCCCUGCUUGCAGGGUACUCGAGUGGCGAACGGGUGAGUAACACGUGGGUGAUCUGCCCUGCACUUCGGGAUAAGCCUGGGAAACUGGGUCUAAUACCGGAUAGGAGCCAUUUUUAGUGUGAUGGUUGGAAAGUUUUUUCGGUGUAGGAUGAGCUCGCGGCCUAUCAGCUUGUUGGUGGGGUAAUGGCCUACCAAGGCGGCGACGGGUAGCCGGCCUGAGAGGGUGGACGGCCACAUUGGGACUGAGAUACGGCCCAGACUCCUACGGGAGGCAGCAGUGGGGAAUAUUGCACAAUGGGCGCAAGCCUGAUGCAGCGACGCCGCGUGGGGGAUGACGGCCUUCGGGUUGUAAACCGCUUUCAGCAGGGACGAAGCUUUUUGUGACGGUACCUGCAGAAGAAGCACCGGCUAACUACGUG